rnacentral:RNase_P_RNA from 1 species
GUGGAGGGAAGCUCAGUGCUGAGGCUACAGACAGAGUGUAGGGGUCACUCUAUGUGCCUCAGGGAAGGUCUGAGACUGGAGCUCCUAGUUGCCCCUGCAGGGCAUCCCUUGGAUGAAGGGGGUGGGUCCCCAGAGAACUUGGCUCUGAUUGCCCAGUGAGUGCAAAAGAUGCAGCAAGUACCCAAUGUUGUGCUUCUGCAGAUGCAAAGGCAUCAGGCUUGGCACUGCCCCACAGCUGGCACAUUCAAGCUCAAUGGCUGAGAGAGAACUGCCUGUGGUUUCCCAACCCAAUUCAGACUACUCUCCCUCCAC